GUCUUGUCUUUAAAAUGCUGUGAAAUAGUCAUAUGUUUGAAAAAUUGAAGUUUUUGUAUUUUUGAGGAAUUUGUAAUUCGCGCCACGCCUAUCAUUGGAUAUUGGAGCAGGUGUUCCGCUAGCGGAACGUCUAGAUGUAAGAGAUUAAGCUUUUAACCGAUAUAAGACACUUGUAUGUACCUCAAUGUUUAGUAUCUAUAAUUUUUAUGAUUAUUUAUUUGAAUUGCGCGCCCUCCAAUUUCACCAGAAGUUGUCGACAGGUGUCCCGCUGGCGGGACGCCUAGCCCUAAUUAUAUUACUCGGUUACGCAUACAAUAAUAUAUAACAGUAAUAUACUACUUUUAAGUAGUUAUUACCCCCAACACUGGUCCCAAGUGAUUAUGUUGAAUUUGUCUAUUUUUACACAUUAAAACUUGGAGAUGGAACCCUGUGUUGUGUAUUGUUUUGGUAUAACUGGCAUCAUCAAAUGUGAGAAAGUACAGACAAGCUACUGUAAAUAUAAAAAUGUCAGAUAUUAUGACAAUAUGGCCACCAUAUUAGGUCUCGAUUCUAUCAGAUCUGCUUUAGCCAACAUCUGCAUAGCGAUUAUUUUGCUGGUGUCAGAGGUGGAACUGCGUUAGAGCUGUCAAAUCCACAAGUGGCUCCAGGCAUUAUAGCUAAAGCGAACAUUGCCAUUGGCUGCAAGGAGUCGCAUUAACAGAAAUCCCAUGCAUGCAGCCUUGUUUACAAGUUCUAACACUGGAAUGUGAGAUGUAAUCUACACCUCCAUUAGGAUGAUAGAAAUCCUCAUUAUUUAGAUUUUUCAAGUUGAGCAUAAUUAUGUCUAUAUAGCUUACACUUUCUCAUUCUGAAUUUAUAACUGUGUGGCUUCUUGACAAUGAUCGCAAGAGCAGCUGCUCACUGAUUUGAUGGCUCAAACACAGUUCCACCUCUAACACCACCAAAACAUCCGCUAUAUGGGUGUCCAAUAUCACCUGUAACGCUUGAUCUGAUUGAAUCUAGGCCUUAGGAAUGUUAUAGAUAUGCAAUGAACAGAGCUGAUGUGAUUCCUUAUCAGGGUCACAUGUUUGUUCUACAUGGUAUAUGUGGUGUGAUUUUAAAAUAAUGAUAGUUGAGCAUCUCAAAGAGAACUCUCUAUCUAGAAUUCUACCGAUUCCCAUCUGUCAAUGAGAAACACAUAUUAACUGUUGCCAAAUAAUGAUUUUAACAUAUAUUGCAGGGUAGGGUGACUUGCCUAGCAGGUCUUGAACUGGGGCCACCAGCAUCAAUGACAAACAUCCUUACCACUGUCCCAAUAAGGGAUAUGCCCUACCAAGCAAAAGAGCAGUUGGCGAGACUUUAAGAGGUCACUGAACCCCUUAAGAAAGAGUUGCAGUCUGUUUUGGAUUGAGUAGCCAGUAAUAAACUGUUCCUGAACAUCUCUAAAACUAAGAGAGUUGUAUUUGGUACAAAUCAUUCCCUAAGUUCUAGACCUCAGUUGAAUCUGGUAAUGAAUGUUGUGGCUGUUGAACAAGUUGAAUUACUUAGUGUUACCUUACUUUAGAUAUUAAACUGUCAUGGUCAAAAUAUAUAGAUUCAAUGGUUGUAAAGAUGGGGAGAGGUAUGUCUGUAAUUAAUUAAGAGAAGCUCUGCUAUUUUGACACCACACUCCAAAAAAGCAAGUUGUCCAGCUGCUGCUGGCCCAGAACAGAAUGGCACGUCUUGCUCUUUAUUGUAAUCAGAGGGCUGACAUAUGUACGCCAGUCUCUCUUGUCUAAGAGUUUAGGAGAGACUGACUGCAACAAUUAUUUUUAUAAGAAACAAUUUGUUUAAAAUCCCAAAUUGUUUGCAUAGUCAAGUUAGCUCACACUUAUGCUAUUAGUGUUUUUUUUCACAGUCCCCAAAUCCAGAACAAAUUCAAGAAAACGUACAGUAUUACAUAGAGCCAUUAUUGCAUGGAACUCCGUUCCAUCUCAUAUUGCUCAAAUAAACAGCAAACCUGGUUUAAAAAAUGUGUCAUCGAAAUUAACUAGAGACGAUAAAUGUAAUCUGCUAUAUUUGUGUAGUAAUAGUAAUGUUCAGUUAACUUAAUCAGCACGUAAUAGAUUAAAGCAUGUAGUGAGUAUGCACAGGUAAUGGCUUAGUUCAGUGCAACUUGACUCCCCACAUACACAUGUAGGAUCUUAAUUUGAUCACAAUUUUGUUGCUUAGAAUUUUCCUACUCGAGCAGGAAAUGCAAAUUUGUAGUUUAUUCAUGGUUUAAAAAGGCUUCUAAAGUUUGUAAUUUCCACUUCAGACUUGAUUUACCCUAACGAAAAAUGUAUCAAGCCUUACAAAAACAUUCGUUAAUUAUAAUCCACAUAUUCAUUCACAUUUCCUUUUGCUUUAGGAUUAUUUUCCUUCUGUAGAAAACUGUCUCAAAUUAAGAUCCUACGUCUGUACUUGAUUGCACUAACAUUUAGUUAUUAAAAAUGGUAAAUUUCUCAUGGACCUUCUUCAUUAUUCUGGCACACUCUCCUCCGCCUCACGGGUGGCGCAGUGGU
rnacentral:lncRNA from 1 species